UCCGUCGUGGUGUAGUGGCUAGCAUUUGAGACUCUCAUACUCAGAUAUUUGAGUCGAGGACUCUCAGAACCCGGGUUCAAUUCCCGGCGACGGAA